UACUCCUAGUACUGGCUCUGGUCACAGCCCCUCCUCUGCAUUGCAGGGGCGGUUCCUCCUGCAGGCAGAGGAGGGUCGUUAGUGAUUGGCGCCACCUGGGCUCAGGGUAUUUAAACUGCUUCAAUAACCACUCUUCUCUCUCUCUCUCUCUCUGCUCCUACAGCUAUGAUCCUGUUUUGUUUGUUCCUUUGUAGUUUUAUGUAGUUUUCACUCAGUCAUAUUCACACAUCCCUGCACUUUACAUACACCCUACAUUAUGAUACUUUCACACCUCAUUCCUUUUUCUUUGUUUAAAGUUAAUAGUUUUUGGUUUAUAAUAAAUAACCUUUUUGAUUGGCCUAUUGUUGUUCGUGUCCCUUCAUUUUUGCCACAGGCUAUGAGCCGGCCUGUGACAAGUGGGGGCUCAUCCGUGGCAGUGAACGUGGGUAGAGCAUCCCUUUCCCUUUUCCCCUACAUCUGCUCGGGAGCACCUCCGUGGUUAUGGGGGGGGCCGCCAGUUUCUGGUUGUCUUUUCCACUCCACCACAUGUGACUUCACGAAGACCAGAGCCAGUUAGUUGUUUUUGGAGGAUAGUGGGGUGUGGCUCCUGUCCUUGAACCCAGACUGACAACAGUGAUGGCCUGCGGCUUGCGGAAUGCUCCAGCCAUCUUCCAGAGGCUAAUGAAUCGGGUGGUCUCAGGUCUGGAAGGGUUGUCGUGUAUUUGGACGACGUGGUUGUCUACUCAGACUCCUGGGAGGAGCAUGUUUGGAGAGUGCAAGCCCUGUUCGAAAGACUGGUGUGGGCCAGGCUGACUAUUAAUUAAAUGUAUGAUCCUGUUUUGUUUGUUGUUUUACGUAGUUUUCACUCAGUCAUAUUCACACACACAUAUUCACACAUCCCUGCACUUUACAUACACCCUACAUUAUGAUACUUUCACACCUCAUUCCUUUUUCUUUGUUUAAAGUUAAUAGAUUUUGGCUUAUAAUAAAUAACCAUUUUGA